UAAGGCUGGUUGGUAAUGUUGCAUAGAGACUCCAAGGGUAGAUAGAACUAGGAGAACAGGUAGGACCACUGUUGCAUCAAGCUAGAAGAAAAAUGGUGGAAGCUUGGACCAGGGUGAUAGGAGAAAUAGUGACACAUGGUUGGAUUAUGAUUAUAUUUUUAUAUUUUAAGGUUGAGGGAACUGAUUAUUGAUAGGCUAGAUAAAAUGUUUCUCUUCUUAAGGCUACCAUUAUAUAGUGGGGGAGGCAGAUGCAUAAUGGAGAUAUACAGAUAUUUUGUAAGGGUGGGAAAACAGGUGUCUGAGAAAUAUUCCUUGAAGAAGUGAAACCUAAUGUGGGAAUUUAAAAAGAUGAGAGCUUUAAAGAAUGUUUGGGAAUAAAAUGUUUCAGGAAGAAAUAACAGCGUUAACAAAAACUUGGGCAAGAAUAGUAUGACAGUUAGGGUUUAGUAGAGACAUGAAUGUGGGAUUGCUCAGGCAUGAGAGAUGUAGGCAAAUCAUGGAGGGUGUUUUUUGUCACAUUAAGGAGCUCAAAUGCUUAUCUAUGGGCAGUUGGAACCUGCUAAAGGGUUUUAAGCAGAAGAGUUUUGUGGUAAGAAUUUUUUUUAGGUAGAUCACUUAAAGGUUUAUGUGGGGAUUGCAUGUGAGAGGAUCAAGAAGCGAGGUGCCUGUUUAAUUUUAAAUUUUGUUAAUUAAUCUUAUACAUAACUUUUAGGUGUGAACAUUCUAAAAGGAAGCAUUAAACUAAGUCUGCUUUCUUUAACAAAAAUGAAUCAGAGCAGGUUCACAGUAGCAGUGUUAUGCCUUUGUGUAUGUGUUUCCACACAUAUAAAUCUAAACCCUACACACCUAAAAAACAAGUUCUAUGGUUUUUAUUCCUAGUUAUUAGUUAUAAGAAUUAAGGAUUUAAUUGCUGUUUAUCUUUGCUAUGUAAUGAAUGCUUAUGUGAAUUUUUUGUUAUAUUUCACUGAAGAGAGUGUCAAUUGAUAAAGAAAUUUACAAAUCAGUUUUUUUUCAAUUUAUGCCUUUUACCAACACAAGUAGUUUCUUUCUCAGUAUGGUGAUUUAAAGAGUAUUAUCAUUGGGAAAAAUCAGAUGACCUACCUGUUAACUAAAAACAACAAUAAAAAAGCUCCAAGAUAUAUUGUAUCAGCCAGUUCUAGGAUACAAAAGCUGUGUAGUACUUUGUGCUUUGUGCAAAAAGGGUAGCUGCUAUUUAACCUGUCCCGAAGGCAUGUGUGGCUGGACCAUCAACCAAGCAUGGCACCUGCUUUUCUGACCUUAGAAAUGAAAGUUUAGAAGAGUUAGUAUGUUAUGUAUUACAUUUUGCAUAUAUUCAUUGACUUUCUAAACUGAAGAAAAGAAUCCGUUAAUGACUACUUGAAGUAUUCUAACAAAAUAGGUAUGGUAAAAAUUGAGCCCCUGUAAUGAAUGAGUCACAGAGCAGGUACUAUAUAUUACUUUACUUAGUCCUGAAGUCCCUUGGGAAACUGAGGCUAAAGCAAAUUCAUCCUAAGAAGUAAGUGGUAGAGCAGGGUGUUUGUCAGCUAGCUUUAUGGAUAACUUGAAUGGAGAAAGAGUGCAGCAGUGGUGUAGAGUGGCAAGGAAGCCCUAAGGGCUGCCCUCUUGGCUUCAGGUGCUAGACAUACAGACCCAAAUCUUGAGAGGAUUUAUCAUAUUUUGAAGUGAGGGUAGGGCUGAAAUAAUUCUUUUAAGACUGAUUAAUUUUUUAAAUAGGUAAUAUAGGUACAUGCCAUGAAAUUUUAAAAGUUUAAAUAUGAAAAGCAUCCAUCCUGUACUAUUCCCCAGCCACUCAUUUCCCCUUCCCAGAGGCAACUGCUCUUACCAGUUUCUCUCGGUUCUUUUUAGAGAUAAUCUUCAUGUAU